GUUACAGAGAUCAGUGAAUAAGCAUCUACCAUGGCUCAAUUGGGGAAUUUCAAAAGCUGAUCUGGGAGCUAAUCAUUCUUCAGUGGCCUAAAGAACGCCACAGCAGCCGAUCCAGAGCUUUGUAAGCAUUGCCAAUGAAGCAAGGCUUCCUUUAAACCAUACGGCAGUAUAAACGACAACUGUCAUGUGACCUCUUACAGGAACUCCACGUAAAAAGUCAGAUUGCUGCAGACAGAAAGUGGGAUGGUGGUGCCAGCAACCAAAGACAGAAAAUGCAGUAGUGAUGUAACAGCAUAUUGCGUUCACCCCGUUGGUAGUGGGAGGAGCGCACAGUCUCCAGACAUUUAACCCCAGAGAAGGGCUCUGAUUGGCCUGGCUUUAGAUCCAUCUCUACCCGGAGUAGUCAGAGCCAGGAGUAUGGAGCCUGUGAUGCCCGCUCUCAUGUAAAUCACAUGGCAGGUGUGGACAGAGAAGCAUCAUCCUGAAAAAUGGAGGAGAUGGAGAGGCGCGAGGGUCUGGCAGACAGAACAGCAGUGGUGGCCCAACAACCAUCGUCACCAAUGAAUGAUGCAGCACUUUGCCUUCAUUGUCCCCUGUUGUCACUGUCACAAACUGGAAUGGAAUUGGCUACAUCCACCCAGGGCUUAGCAAGCCAUGCUCACAGUCAUUGUGAAGUUUGCUGACUAGCUCGGGCUUCUGCAAAGGCAAACCUGUGAUUUAGAAAAGCAAAGUGUGUCCUAGGUAAGCCUGCACUUCGUGAGUGGGUAAGGGCUGGGGCUGGCACAGUUGGCUUUGCUCAUCACCCUAUAAUGGCAUUAGACAUUAGGACACCACGGGCAAAAUCACACCCCCAUGGUCUUUGCAACUGAUGAGCGAGACUGAGUUCAUAGCACAGCUCCAUUUUGCGGGGUCAUCCCACCUGUGGGUGUCUCCAGUGCCUUGUGAAAAUAAAUGCAGACGCCAAGUUCAGAAUCUGUGUCUCUGGUAGAGGAGCAGACACAGUGACUGAUCUCUCCCCUCCAUCCCUCUCUCCCUCUCUCCUCUCACUUUUUGAGACA